UCAUAAAAAUGAAAGUACUUCAUAAAAACAGAAGGAAAAACCCAGUCACUGGUAAUUUCUAGGAAGUCCUGGUCCUGAAAGUGUAAGAGGAGGAACUAGAGUGGGGAUAUCAGAGGAAUAACAACACCAAGGACCAAUGGCCAGGUUACCCUCACCUGACCAUUACCAAAUGUCCACGAAGGCAUUCCGAAAUGUCCUGGGAAUUCCAAAUUACCUCCUAAGGCCAUUUCCUUUCAAUCUCAAGAAUAGGGCCUUUUCUCUCUCAGUAACUCAAUGACCAUGAUGUUUACUAUAAUAUUCCAAGGAUGAGUAAUAGAGGGGCAGUAGAACAAAGCGGACGUGAUGAAAAGGCACACAGACCUGGCUAAAAAUCAGGAUCUGCCAUCUACCCACUGCUGGAGCUCAGGCCAGUUGCUGGAUUGGGGAGGUAAAAACAGUAUCUACUUGAUUCAGUUACUGUGAGGCUUAAUUGAUAGAACACAUGUCAAGUGUUAGACACAUAAUAACUGAUAUUUAUCACAUUUUUUCCUCUCUCUGACAUAAUAGUCAGACUCUAAACUGUUAAAUGCAAGAUUACCAACAUGAAUUUCAAGGCGAAACAAGACAGAUUAAGUGAAAUGUCCGUGUCUGACUCCAGAUCAUCCUGCUCGAAGUCAGGUUCAAGAAGACAUAUUCAAGAACCAAGUCCCAAUUCAGUGCUCUAGCCUCUGAAUCAAUGGGGCCAUCUUCAUUUUGUAUCCUUAGAUAAACCACAGGGACCUUGUAAUAGAAGGGGCCAGAGGCAAGGUGAAACUGGGGGGUUAUGUAAUGAACUUGUUGCCUCCUAGGACAGACCAAGGUUCCCAGGAGCUACUUGGCUCCUACAAAGUGCAAGGAUCUGUGUACUAAGAGGUUUGGGUGGCACAAAGCCACAUCAGAAGUGGACUCUGACCACAGAGAGUUUUACAACCUAUGAGAACUGGUCCCCACGUGUUCUUUGUACUUAGGACAGAGGUCAGGACCAAAAGCCUGUCUUAGAACACAGUUCAGAGAUUAUGCAGUUGAGAUCACAUGGAAGAUCCCAUACAAACAUCCAGUUCCCUGUAAUCAUAUCUGUUCCACCCUCUUUUUUCUUUUCUCUAAUACAUAGAAAUCAUUAGGCUUCAUCAGGCAGGUAGUGUCUCAGGGCCCCAUAUCACCCCAGGUGAGAUCUAUGAUGUAAAUUUCCCUCACUGCGACUCCCCGGCAUCACCCCAUUUCCAGGCACAGAACCAACCAACCACAUUGCCAGACCAUCAAAGACCAGUUUUUUAAAAAAAGAGUUUAAACAAUCGAUAGAAUUUACUUUAUUCCUUACAUGCCCCAGAAUGAACCCUGAAAGGCAACACUUAAUUAUCCGAUACCUAUGAAAUUCUUACACUCCUCUCAGAAAGCAAGGUUAACCCUUUGGGGUGAAAAAAAAUUACUCCUCAACUCCUCUUAAAGCUUCAGGGUAUCAAAAGGGGUGAUACUUAUUGCUUUGCAAAUGUACUUUCUAAAAAUAAUCAAUAUUUUCCUUAAAGGCUUAUGGCAGAGAAACCAAGUCACUUUGCCUUAAUUGCUGGCAAGCUGCACAAUGACUUGAUCUCUUUAAUAUUUCACUCAUAGUAGCAGCCACUGAGCUAUGACUAACCCACUCUCCCAGCAUCACCGCUGGCUCCAGAUGGCAAGAAAUACAUUCCCUUCCCUAUUGCCUAAAAAGCAAUUCUGAUUUUUUUUUUUUUCUUUUGCCCAGUUUCACCUGCAGUAAUCUGUUGACUCCAGAAAGAAAACGCCUUGAGGUGAAAGGGAGAUCAAUGCGAAAGAGUACAGGUAGAAUUUACUUUUUGUUAAUGGAGUGUAAGCUACUGCAGCUUUAAAUCUUACUGCAUCAAGCCCUGGAUACCUUCCAUAACCAAGCUGCAAAAUGCUAACAAGAAAGGAGGAAAAAAAUACCUCUUCCUCCCUCCCGGUCAACCCUUCAGGCCGCUCUCCGGCCGGCCUGGCAGCGGCGAGCCCAUCCCCCCGCGCCCUCCCAGCCCAGACGUGCGACUGGUACAGAUGUUGCAGCAAGAGCACUGGCCUGCCAUGACCUACUACAUUCAACAUAGAAGAAUUCAGAAACUGUUUUGCAAUAUUUUUUCAAGAGAUUAAAAAUGUUGAGGCUGCUGUAUUUCCAGGAAAUCAGUUUGUAUUCAAGCACUCUUACACUCAAACCCAUGAAAGAAAGCCAAGAUCUUCUCUUUUUACCACGUCAUCUUCAGAAAGGGGGAGUUUUGAUAUCAUUUGUGGAACACACUGAGUCCUUGAGAAUACACAAUGGGCUCCCCAACAAAGGAGGUGGCAGAUCCAGAGGAAGUGAAACUUUCUGUGGGGGAGAAAAAAAAUAAUAAAGUGGGUUAAAUCUUU